rnacentral:misc_RNA from 1 species
AAGUCGUAACAAGGUUUCCGUAGGUGAACCUGCGGAAGGAUCAUUAUCCUUUGCGUAGUGCUCUUACCAGUACUGCAAGCGCUCACACUAUUGUGUUGCGUUACAAUGCACAACGAUGAUGCCAAGUCAUUGUCGUUCUCAAAACCCAUGCUUGCUUGAGUAUGGUCGGGUACCUAAGCCUGUGCCUUUGGCACUACGUAAGCGGCAGAUGCUUGUCUACCGUAUGGCGUAAAGAUCACUCGAGCUUGAGUGACGCCCGCUUAGCAAAAAUUUUAUUACCAAAUAUUAAUCGCACUAUUAUGUUGUAUGUGUAAAGCAAUAUCUUACUACUUGUUAAGAUAAUAACACAAAUACAACCCUAUGCGGUGGAUCAUUUGGCUC